rnacentral:rRNA from 1 species
CCUACGGGAGGCAGCAGUGAGGAAUAUUGGUCAAUGGGCGGGAGCCUGAACCAGCCAAGUCGCGUGAGGGACGACUGUCCUAUGGAUUGUAAACCUCUUUUGUCGGGGAACAAAGGCGCCCACGGGUAGGCGGAUGAGUGUACCCGAAGAAAAAGCAUCGGCUAACUCCGUGCCAGCAGCCGCGGUAAUACGGAGGAUGCGAGCGUUAUCCGGAUUUAUUGGGUUUAAAGGGUGCGUAGGCGGACAGUCAAGUCAGCGGUAAAAUUGCGGUGCUCAACGCCGUACAGCAGUUGAAACUGGCAGCCUUGAGUGGGCGAGAAGUAUGCGGAAUGCGUGGUGUAGCGGUGAAAUGCAUAGAUAUCACGCAGAACUCCGAUUGCGAAGGCAGCAUACUGGCGCGCGACUGACGCUGAGGCACGAAAGCGUGGGUAUCGAACAGGAUUAGAUACCCGGGUAGUC